UACGGAGGUCCCGAGCGUUGUUCGGAUUCAUUGGGCGUAAAGGGUGCGUAGGCGGCUUUCUAAGUCUGAUGUGAAAUCCUGGGGCUCAACCCCAGAACUGCAUUGGAUACUGGAAGGCUAGAGUACUGGAGAGGAAACUGGAAUUUACGGUGUAGCAGUGAAAUGCGUAGAGAUCGUAAGGAAGACCAGUGGCGAAGGCGAGUUUCUGGACAGUAACUGACGCUGAGGCACGAAGGCCAGGGGAGCAAACGGG
rnacentral:rRNA from 1 species